AAUCAACGCUGGCGGCGUGCCUAACACAUGCAAGUCGAACGCGAAAGUGGAGCAAUCCAUGAGUAGAGUGGCAAACGGGUGAGUAACGCGUGGGCGACCUACCUCUGAGUGGGGAGUAACCUUCCGAAAGGAGGGCUAAUACCGCAUGACAUCCCGUGUUUGGAUACACGGACAUCAAAGCCGGGGAUCGCAAGACCUGGCGCUUGGAGAGGGGCCCGCGUCCGAUUAGCUAGUUGGUGAGGUAACGGCUCACCAAGGCUCCGAUCGGUAUCCGGCCUGAGAGGGCGGACGGACACACUGGAACUGAGACACGGUCCAGACUCCUACGGGAGGCAGCAGUGGGGAAUCUUGCGCAAUGGGCGAAAGCCUGACGCAGCGACGCCGCGUGAGGGAUGACGGCCUGGUGUAACGU
rnacentral:rRNA from 1 species